rnacentral:misc_RNA from 1 species
AAACUGUCAUUAAAGCAUGGUUGUUCUGAAAGAGAUAGAAAAUCAAAAGAUGUUUUGGGGCGUGACUUUAGAUGGAGGGAAACGUUACACACAGACUGUGGAGAGGUCGUUCCACAUCUCCAUGGCUGCCCUGGAGCCACCAGUCUCUGAAGUGGGUGUUAUGGUCUGUGUGGAUAAGGCAGAGUUCCUCCUCUGUUCCCUUGGAUACGGAAACGUUCUUCAGCAGCCACUGGAUCUCAUGUUUACUGAAGGAGAAGAGGUCACCUUCUUUUUGCUUGGAAAUGGUGUGGUCCACUUGACUGGUUACCUUGUGGAGGACCAGCCAGAAGACAUGGACAUGGAUAUGGAAGGAAUGUAUGACGACUCAGAUGAAGCUCCAGAACUUGUUGGCGACUCAGAGGAUGAUUCUGAAGAUGAUGAGGACUCAUCUGCCCUUGUUAAAUCAAAAGGAACAAAACGUAAAUUGAAAGACUCUGGAAAAUUAAGCAAGAAAGUGAAACUGGCUGAUUUGGACAGUGAUGAGGAUGAUGAUGAAGAUGAUGAGGACUAUGAAGAAGACAUGUCUGCCCUUGAUUUCCUGGAUGAAGCAUCUGAGGAUGAGGAAGAUAUUGACGAUAUGUGUAAGACAUAACUAGGGUACAGCUAGGAGUCCUAUUGUAAUCCCAUUGUCUGUCUGUCCUGACAAAUUAGGUCAUAUGAAUGAGAAAAUCUUGAAAAUAAAUCAUGACCCUGUCAAUUUGUAUAAAUAUUAGGUGUAAAAUUUAUUGUGAUGUCAAACGUGAUUGUUUUUGUCACAUGAUUACAGUUGAGGAUGAUUCAGAAGAUGAUGAAGAAGACAGCGAGGAAGAAGAAGAGGAGGAAGUCGUGAAGAAAAAGACUCCAAAUAAAAAAGCUGACAAGUCACUAGAUAAAAAGAAGGCAGCCAACAACAGUCCAGCCCAGAAUAAGAACACACCCAAUGCCAAGGGUAAGCAACAGGUCGGCAAAGGCGGUGAGCAGACCCCGGGCAAAGGGAAACAAACUCCAGGCAAGGGCCAGCAAACUCCAGGCAAGGGCCAGCAAACUCCAGGCAAUGGACAGCAAACUCCCGGAGGAGGGAAGGUUUGUAUAAAUAUCCAAAAAACAUGAAAGGGUAAAUUUUAUGUGGAGUCAAGAAUAGUUUAGAUCUGCACAAAUUGAUAUCUAUAAAUGAUCAAAAUGUCCUUGAGCCUCGAAGUAUGCUCUAUUUAAGAUGUUUCCAAGCCAGGUUAAGACCUUAAUCCUCUUGAAAGGUAUUGAUAAAAGUUUCCCUCUGUUUUAAUUAUUGGAGAUUGUUAUGUUAAAAUUUCAGACUCCUCAAAAUGCCGAAACACCAAACACUGAAGGAAAAAAGAAGAAAAAAAAGAAGAAGAACAAAAACAAGGGGGACGACUCACUUAAUGAGGCCUCCACUCCUAAACCAGAGUCCACCACCCCAUCCAAACGCGUCAUGGCCGGCGGGGUUGUUAUGGAAGAAACAAAGGCUGGUCACGGACCAGAGGCCAAAUCAGGGAAAAUGGUGAGUGUGUAUUAUGUGGGAAAGCUUGCGAAUAAUGGAAAACAGUUUGAUUCCUGUAUGCAAGGGAAACCUUUCCGGUUCCGCUUGGGAAAGAACGAAGUGAUCAAAGGAUGGGACACUGGCGUGCAAGGAAUGAAAGUAGGAGGAAAAAGAAGGCUGACCAUUCCUGCUCAACAAGCGUGAGUAUUGAAUAUUAAAUAGCCUCUCUACUUGGAAUAAUGAAAUGUUAAUAAUUUUUGAUAAGAUAAUGUUUAUCAAUCAUGGUAAAUUUAAUCUGUAUGAAAAUUUUCAAAAACACCUUCCAUAACCAAUAUUCAGAAGAUGCUAAUAUGGUCUGUACUACAUGUAGCCAAUGUGUAGAUCUCAUGUAAAUAUCUCUUUAAUUUGAUUUGCAAAUACAUGUAUGUGUUGUGUUUAAUAAACUAAACUAAAACUAUUGAAGUGAUUGGGGAAAAACAUGUUUUUGGAUGUAGAAAUGCUGAGUAAAUUUGAAAUUGAAUUUAAAUUCUUAUUCCACACAGAUACGGAAAUGUGAAAGUGGGACACAUACCUGCCAACUCUACCCUGAUGUUUGAUGUGGAACUGAAGGCGGUCAGCUAGAUCUACAGGAAAUUUACAAUGCCAUUGGAGGGAGGGGGACUAUGAGGUUGUAGGAAACAUCUGAUCCAGCAGUUCAUCAUAGGACUGGAAUAUUGAUUGUUUAUAAGUUGAUGGACAUUGGAUGAUCAUACUGUGUGAGAGGGCCACAAUGUUGGAAUGGACCUGUUGCAAGAUUGUAUGGGAUAAAGGAGAUCUGCUGUGUGUGUGUGUAAAGUCGACCAGAAUCGUGUUCAUUGUCAUUAUGAUUUUAAUGUUCUAACGUGUAGGACAUCUUAGAACUGUUUUAUUGUGAGACCAGUUAUGGCAUGACAAACAUCAGGAUUAAUUUUGUUACUGAUUUAAUGUUAAAAUGUGUCUUAUACUAUGUACAUGUGAUGUUGAUAUGCAUUUGUUACAAAAUAUUGAUGAACUGUGUAUUGUACAUGUAUGCUCUUACAGUCAACUGUAUCUAGAGAUCAUUAAUUUCCUUGUUAAAAUUCUUGUUUAUCUUUGCUUAAAAUGUCACAUUUAUGUACAUGUACUAUGAUCAUUCAUGUUUUUUAUAUGAAAAUAAAACAUGUCAAUUUUU